GACGAACGCUGGCGGCGUGCUUAAUACAUGCAAGUCGGACGGAGGAGCGAGUGCUUGCACUCGUGGAUGAGUGGCGAACGGGUGAGUAACACGUGAGUAACCUGCCCAUCUCUCUGGGAUAAGACCUGGAGACGGCGUCUAUUACUGCAUACGACCUAUUCAUGCACGGGGUGUUGGUGGAAAGAUCUGUCGGUGUUGGAUGGACGCGCGGCUUACCAGCUUGUUGGCGGGGUGAUGGCGUACCAAGGCGCCAACGGGUAGCCGGCCAGAGAGCGUGACCGGCCACCCUGGGACUGAGACACGGCCCAGACUCCUACGGGAGGCAGCAGUGGGGAAUCUUGCACAAUGGGCGAAAGCCUGAUGCAGCGACGCCGCGUGAGUGAUGACGGCCUUCGGGUUGUAAACCUAUUUCAGCAGGGAAGAAGCGAAAGUGACGGUACCUGCAGAAGAAGCACCGGCUAACUACGUG
rnacentral:rRNA from 1 species